GACACCAUAGCCAAGUGGUUAAGGCGACAGAUUAGAAUUUGCGUAGUUUGCCAGUUUAUCUGUUUCUCUUUGAGAGCGUAGGUUCGAACCCUACUGGUGUCG
rnacentral:tRNA from 1 species